AUAACCGUUGCACAGCGUGACUCGGAGAAUGAACAACUGGCAGGGAGCUAAAACUCCCCGAGGACCCAAGAUGUCAGCCCGAUAGAGCCAAGAUGGAGUAAGCCUUUGUUCUUCACAUCAGGCUCCACUUCAUCAAGUCCUUCCUGAAACUCAUGAUUGCCCUCCGGACCAUUGGAUGCUGGAAAACAGAGCAAGACGAUAUCGUUUGGCUGCUUUUCUUGAGUUGGUGCUACAAGGGGAGAGAGUUGGAAAAGCAAACCGCAUCAUCUUGUGUCGUACAUCGCAUCAGAGCCAAAUACCCCCCCUCAAUGGUCAGUACUAUACCAUGAAGUGGACGACGCAACGGACGAGCUUUGAACAUGAUAUGCAAAAAAUUUUAGUGUAAUGCUGCUAAAGUUUAAUGUUGCUAACAAUGGACACUUUUACCUCAAAGCUUGUUGACUGAUCUGGACUUUGUGUCAAAGUAUGAUGUGCAAUAUGCUAAACAUUUAUUUGAAAAUGUAAUAACACAAUGUAACGUGUUGGUUUGAAUAAAGUUGUUUUCUAAAUAUAUAA